rnacentral:rRNA from 1 species
AUUGAACGCUGGCGGCAUGCUUUACACAUGCAAGUCGAACGGUAACAGGCCGCAAGGUGCUGACGAGUGGCGAACGGGUGAGUAAUGCAUCGGAACGUGCCCAGUCGUGGGGGAUAACGCAGCGAAAGCUGCGCUAAUACCGCAUACGAUCUAUGGAUGAAAGCGGGGGACCGUAAGGCCUCGCGCGAUUGGAGCGGCCGAUGUCAGAUUAGGUAGUUGGUGGGGUAAAGGCUCACCAAGCCAACGAUCUGUAGCUGGUCUGAGAGGACGACCAGCCACACUGGGACUGAGACACGGCCCAGACUCCUACGGGAGGCAGCAGUGGGGAAUUUUGGACAAUGGGCGCAAGCCUGAUCCAGCAAUGCCGCGUGCAGGAUGAAGGCCUUCGGGUUGUAAACUGCUUUUGUACGGAACGAAACGGCCCUUUCUAAUACGGGGGGCUAAUGACGGUACCGUAAGAAUAAGCACCGGCUAACUACGUGCCAGCCGCCGCCGUAA